rnacentral:tRNA from 1 species
GGCCGGUUAGCUCAGCUGGUUAGAGCGUGGUGCUAAUAACGCCAAGGUCCUGGGUUCGAUCCCCCUACUGGCCA